rnacentral:pre_miRNA from 1 species
CAACUACUCCCUCUGUCCCAAAUUUCUUGUCUUAGAUUUGUCUAGAUACGGAUGUAUCUAAUACUAAAAUGUGACUUGAUACAUUCGUAUCUAGACAAAUCUAAGACAAGAAUUUUGGGACGGAGGGAGUACUUN